CAAGAACAUAAGGACGGGUGCUCAACAGGGAGGAGGGCACCCUGAAGGUUUUUGUGGGGACACUCUCUGAACGCUGAGAAGGUUCUUGAUGGCCUGCGGGAGCUUCUACCUGGAGUGGAUUCCUAGGACGCCUGGUUGGAGAGGAGCUGAGCGCUCCCACUGUGAACUGCUGAAGCUCUGGAGAGGCUGGAGAACCACAAGACCCCGACUUCUCGAUGGACAAUACUAUCACCUGCCAACGAUGACAGUGAGGGGUUCCACUCUAAUCUUACAUUCCUGUGCUCUUCCUCGUCUCCCCGCCCCGGCGGGAACCCCCAGCCCGGCACUGAGUAGGGCAGCAAUGGUGGGCAUUGUCUUGUUCUUGGUUUCAAUGGGACGCUGGUGAACAUUCAACCCUGAGGUAUGAUGUUGCUAUAGGUUUUGGUAGAUAUUCUUUAUCAGGUUUAGAAAACUCUAUCAUAUUCCUUAUUUAUGAAAAGGUACUAAUCAUGAAUGGAUGUUGAACUUAGGAAAUAGCUUUUGCAGCUAUUGAGAUGAUAAAAGGGUGCUCCUCUCCCCCUUAAAUCCGUUAGUGUGAGAACAUGCAUCAAUGCUGAGCCAAAUUUGCCCUCUGGAGUAAACCUGAUCAGGUCAUGCUAUGCUAUCGCUUUGUGUGCUGUUAGAUUUGGUUUGCUAGUAUUGUUUUGAUUCAUAUGCUUUAAUCAACUUUUUGAGGUUUAAUUUACAUACAAUAAAAUGUGCCCAUUUUAAAUACAGAAGGCAAUGAACCUGACGAAUGCAUGCACCCAUGUAACUGCCACCACAUGGAGAGGGCAUUUCAACCACCUGACGGAGCUCCCUCUGCAGUCAAGCCCCUACCCUCAGCCCCAGCUUUGCUAGUGUUUUGUGUGGGACUUUUGCAUCGAUGAGUAUGUGACACUGUGCUGUAAUUUUGAUCUCACACUUACAUAGCCUAAAAGAAUAA